GUAAGGUCAAGUAGAAAAGGGCGCACGGUGAAUGCCUAGGCACUAACAGCCGAAGAAGGACGUGACGAACUACGAAAAGCUUCGGGGAGCGGUAAGUACGCAGUGAUCCGGAGAUAUCCGAAUGGGGGAACCCAAUGCAGAGAUGCAUUAUUGAUUAGUGAAUAGAUAGCUAAUCAAAGGAAGACGCAGUGAACUGAAACAUCUAAGUAGCUGCAGGAAGAGAAAGAAAGAUCGAUUUCCUUAGUAGCGGCGAGCGAAGAGGAAAGAGCCCAAACCAAGUGAUUUAUCAUUUGGGGUUGUAGGACUGCGACGUGGCAGUGUAAGAGAUAGUUGAAUUAUCUGGGAAGGUAAGCCAGAGAGGGUGAGAGCCCCGUAAGCGAAAUCUCAAGCACGCCUAGCAGAAUCCUGAGUAGGCCGGGACACGAGGAAUCCCGGUUGAAACCGCGAGGACCAUCUCGCAAGGCUAAAUACUAGUUAGUGACCGAUAGUGAACCAGUACCGUGAGGGAAAGGUGAAAAGAACCCCGGAAGGGGAGUGAAAAAGAACCUGAAACCGUGUGUCUACAAGUAGUCAAAGCACAUUAAAGUGCAAUGGCGUGCCUUUUGUAGAAUGAACCGGCGAGUUACGUUAUCUAGCGAGGUUAAGUCAGAAAAGACGGAGCCGGAGCGAAAGCGAGUCUUAAUAGGGCGAAAAGUUAGGUGACGUAGACCCGAAACCAAGUGACCUACCCAUGACCAGGCUGAAGGUGUGGUAAAACGCACUGGAGGGCCGAACCCACGUAAGUUAAAAAUUGCGGGGAUGAGUUGUGGGUAGCGGUGAAAUUCCAAACGAACUUGGAGAUAGCUGGUUCUCUCCGAAAUAGCUUUAGGGCUAGCCUCGUGGAGAGGAUAAUGGAGGUAGAGCUCUGUUUGGACUAGGGGCCCGUCAGGGGUUACUGAAUCCAGAUAAACUACGAAUUCCAGAUAUCCAUACACGGGAGUCAGACUGCGAGUGAUAAGAUCCGUAGUCGAAAGGGAAACAGCCCAGAUCACCAGUUAAGGUCCCCAAAUCUAUGCUAAGUGGAAAAGGAUGUGGAGUUGCGUAGACAACUAGGACGUUGGCUCAGAAGCAGCCAUCAUUCAAAGAGUGCGUAAUAGCUCACUAGUCGAGUGGCGCUGCGCCGAAAAUUUACCGGGGCUAAGCAUAGUACCGAAACUGUGGAUGUGUUUUAAAGAGCACGUGGUAGGAGAGCGUUCUAAGAGCGGAGAAGUUGAAUCGAGAGGAUCAAUGGAGCGCUUAGAAGUGAGAAUGCCGGUAUGAGUAGCGAAAGAUAGGUGAGAAUCCUAUCCGCCGAAAGACUAAGGUUUCCUGGGGCAGGCUCGUCCGCCCAGGGUAAGUCGGGACCUAAGGCAAGGCCGAGAGGCGUAGUCGAUGGAUAACAGGUAGAGAUUCCUGUACUGUGUCAAAUCGUUAAGAGCGAAGGAGGGACGCAGGAGGUGAAGCACGCAUCGCGAUGGAACGAUGUUCAAGCAACAAGUGCGGUUAAGAGUCAAAUGCUUCUAACCAGCAACACGAGUUGUGAAGAGGAGUGAAUUAAAAGUAGCGAAGGUGUGGUAAUCACACUGCCAAGAAAAGCUUCUAGCCAGAGAUGACAUACCCGUACCGCAAACCGACACAGGUAGUCGAGUGGAGAACACUAAGGUGAGCGAGAGAACUCUCGUUAAGGAACUCGGCAAAAUGACCCCGUAACUUCGGAAGAAGGGGUGCUAGCCAAGAGAUUGGUUAGCCGCAGUGAAUAGGCCCAAACAACUGUUUAUCAAAAACACAGGUCUCUGCAAAAUCGUAAGAUGACGUAUAGAGGCUGACACCUGCCCGGUGCUGGAAGGUUAAGAGGAGAGCUUAGCGUAAGCGAAGGUUUGAAUUGAAGCCCCAGUAAACGGCGGCCGUAACUAUAACGGUCCUAAGGUAGCGAAAUUCCUUGUCGGGUAAGUUCCGACCUGCACGAAAGGUGUAAUGAUUUGGGCACUGUCUCAACGAGAGACUCGGUGAAAUUAUAAUACCCGUGAAGAUGCGGGUUACCCGCGACAGGACGGAAAGACCCCAUGGAGCUUCACUGUAGCUUGAUAUUGAGUAUCUUUUAAACAUGUACAGGAUAGGUAGGAGCCAGAGAAGAUAGGACGCUAGUCUUAUUGGAGGCAAUGUUGGGAUACUACCCUUGUUUGAAGGAUGCUCUAACCUCGACCUGUAAGCCAGGCCAGGGACAGUGUCAGGUGGGCAGUUUGACUGGGGCGGUCGCCUCCUAAAGUGUAACGGAGGCGCUCAAAGG
rnacentral:rRNA from 1 species